rnacentral:rRNA from 1 species
UACGUAGGGCGCAAGCGUUAUCCGGAAUUAUUGGGCGUAAAGAGCUCGUAGGCGGUUCGUCGCGUCGGCUGUGAAAUCCUGAGGCUCAACCUCAGGCUUGCAGUCGAUACGGGCGGGCUGGAGUUCGGCAGGGGAGACUGGAAUUCCUGGUGUAGCGGUGAAAUGCGCAGAUAUCAGGAGGAACACCGGUGGCGAAGGCGGGUCUCUGGGCCGAUACUGACGCUGAGGAGCGAAAGCGUGGGGAGCGAACAGG